GCGAGCUAUGGAUCCAACCUAGGACUGCCUUCCUACCCUGUCUCUGGCCCUUCUUCCACCUUCAGUUUCACCUGCAGACUAACGGGUGCCAUUUGGUGACAAAAGUAUCUGGACAUCACAGCCAAGGUAGCAAGAGUUCUCUUGAGGAAGCCUGGGAUAAAGUGCAGUGACCACGUUGACUGAGAAAUUCGAAGAGUCAACAGCCCUGAAGGGAUUUGUGGUCCUGGAUGGAAUCAUGUGUCUCCCUCAGUGUCAAGGCAUGGGUGUCCAUUACAUCUCAGAAGAAGUCAGGAUGCUGAAUGCAAGGCUCGCAGUCACACGGCCUCACACUAAUUUUUUAUUUAUAAGCACUGCUCAAAGUAAUGAGAUGCUCUUGUGUCCUGUUGCUU